rnacentral:sRNA from 1 species
UCUGAAAGGUCGCCCGUCUCGGUACGGCAGC